CUUCGACCAAGGUUCGACUCGAGCGCCAGCGAGAGAGCGUUGCCGCAGGCAACGACCCGAAGGGCGAAGCGCGCAGCGCUGAGUAAUCCUUCCCCCACCACCA
rnacentral:sRNA from 1 species